rnacentral:rRNA from 1 species
ACGUAGGGGGCGAGCGUUGUCCGGAAUUACUGGGCGUAAAGGGUGCGUAGGUGGCCUUUUAAGUUGGAUGUGAAAUACCCGGGCUUAACUUGGGGGGUGCAUCUAAUACUGGGAGGCUAGAGUGCAGGAGAGGGAAGCGGAAUUCCUAGUGUAGCGGUGUAAUGCGUGGAUAUUAGGAGGAGCACCAGUGGCGAAGGCGGCUUUCUGGACUGAAACUGACACUGAGGCGCGAAAGCGUGGGGAGCAAACAG